rnacentral:rRNA from 1 species
UACGGAGGAUGCGAGCGUUAUCCGGAUUUAUUGGGUUUAAAGGGUGCGCAGGCGGAGGCACAAGUCAGCGGUAAAAUCGCGGGGCUCAACCCCGCUCCGCCGUUGAAACUGUGUCCCUUGAGUGCGCGAAGGGUAGGCGGAAUGCGUGGUGUAGCGGUGAAAUGCAUAGAUAUCACGCAGAACUCCGAUCGCGAAGGCAGCCUACCGGCGCGCUACUGACGCUGAGGCACGAAAGCGUGGGUAUCGAACAGG